rnacentral:lncRNA from 1 species
GGGAUCCUCCUCGAGGAAUAGCGUGGUGCCACGUGGAUUGAAGGAGUUCCACAUGAGGGAGUCGUAUCCGAGGCCGAAGACGAGGAAGUUGCAAGGGGAUAUUUCUUUGAGGACGUUGAAGGACACGGUUAUUUCGGCAAGCGAUUGCUGGGGGACGAUUUUUGAGGUGGCAUAGUGUAGAAUGGCGCGGAGUUGGAUCGGCGUGGUGGUGUACUCGGCUACGUCUCGGGCUUUGGAGCUGGCCAGCGAACAGAAGAACGAGUUCUCGGCUGACCGGAUUAACGUCGAAAUCACUAGCGCUGCGGCGAUUAGUCCGGCGAUUGCGACCACCAGGAGUUUCUUUUUCUCCGGUUGAAACUGAGGGCUCUUCGUCAUUUCAAUUUGUGUCCUUUUUUUUUUUUGGAAAGAAAAUAAUAAUCGAGAUUAACUGCUGUACCGUACAUCCGCCUUGGCCGUACAGCAGGUAAAAGUUCAAAUAAUAAUAAUAAUAAAUAAAACAUAACAAUAAACAAACAACAAUCAGGGGGUGAUGAAACGCAACGCAGCGUUUCAGCAAAACCUAUCAUCGGCAUUGGUCGAGUUAGCCGCCGGUGGGAUUUCAAAGUGCCAGAUCCUCCCCACGGCGUCCUUCAAGUACUUUCUACACAAGAACUCCUCGGCGAAGGCCUUCUCCACUCUCCGAUCAACAUCGUGCAGGUACACGUGCGUCACACCGGAUCCUCUCCUCCGCCUGGCCAUAACCGCCGCCGAGAAUAUUGCUGCCAUCCGCCCCGGCGCCCGCGGGAAGUACCCGCGCGGAGCGUCGAUCAUGAUGAUGUCCCACUGCUGGUCGUAGACCUCGUCGGGGAGGCCGGUCAAGGCGAGCUUGCAGCCAACAUUGCCACGUAGGAAGGCUUUGGAGGGGGAGCAAAGGGGUUCUUUUUUGUAGGAGGAGAGGAGGGCGUCGGCUUCCGAGAGCUGAGUGCGGUACUGGACGGCGUGGGCAUUGAGUGUAGGGGCGUCCUUGAGGACGGACUGGACCCACUUGGGAUCCUCCUCGAGGAAUAGCGUGGUGCCACGUGGAUUGAAGGAGUUCCACAUGAGGGAGUCGUAUCCGAGGCCGAAGACGAGGAAGUUGCAAGGGGAUAUUUCUUUGAGGACGUUGAAGGACACGGUUAUUUCGGCAAGCGAUUGCUGGGGGACGAUUUUUGAGGUGGCAUAGUGUAGAAUGGCGCGGAGUUGGAUCGGCGUGGUGGUGUACUCGGCUACGUCUCGGGCUUUGGAGCUGGCCAGCGAACAGAAGAACGAGUUCUCGGCUGACCGGAUUAACGUCGAAAUCACUAGCGCUGCGGCGAUUAGUCCG